GCGCCUAUAGCUCAGUUGGCAGAGCAGGAGACUUUUAAUCUUCGGGUCCAGGGUUCGAGCCCCUGUGGGCGCACCA
rnacentral:tRNA from 1 species